GAGGCCACACCCUAGAGCAAUUAAAUCAGAAUGUCUUAGGGUGAGACCCAGACUUUGGUAUUAAAAAAUAUAUACCAAGGGGCAGCUGGCUGGCUCAGUCAGUAGAACAUGUGACUCUUGAUCUCUGGGUUGUGAGUUCAAGCUCCAAGUUGGGCAUGGAGCCUACUUAAAAAAAUGUAUAUACUGAUUUGAAAAUCUAUUUUAAUGUGGAGGCAAGGCUGGGAAGCACUGUCCUAGUGACAUUUCUCAAUUCUGGUUGACUGUGUUUUAUAUUAACAUGCUUGAGAUUGAGGUUUGAAAGCUCUUGAGCCUAUUUUGAAGCCCCUGAUGACAGAGAUUUCAGAGUCUAGGGAGCCGAGGAGUGUCACAAUAAUAUUUCUUUUCUAACCUAGUAAGUAUUUACCAGUGAGGUGGUGAUGUGAAACAAGGUCAGACCCAGAUAAUUUGAAUCCUUCCUUCUCUGAUGGGCCAGACAUUAUAGGAUUCAUGGUGUGUCAGGUCAGCUGAACAGAAGGAAAGAGUGUCACUUUGAAAAAUAUUAAGUAAAGAAGUGGCAAAAAUGCCAAGGACAUGGACAAGACUGUGUAACAAAGGGACCUGCCCUCCUGAGGCUCCCAAGGCAGACACCUAGAUGGUCAAUGGAGCUGUUCUUGUUGCAGAGCGUGGGCAGAGUCUAGUCCAAGGCAAAUCUCGUGCUACCCAGGAGAAGUCACUGAGGAUAACACCAGGACUGUGGAGGGGCAGUGCAAGGUGCUGGUGAGGAAAAGGGGGAAAUGCAGACCAGAUAAUGAAGAACCAGAACAACCCGGAGGCAUCUGUACCCAGCAGAGCAUGAGCCCCGUGGAACCAGGCCCAGGCAAAUAUUAAGAAUUCUCUAAACUGCCUACAGUCUUGAGGUUGCCCUUCUUUUCUUCUGUGUGGAGGUGAAACUGAAAAUCCUAAUUAUUCCAUGAUCAGUGCUUUUGCCAAGAGGAUACCAAGCUUGAUAUCAUCACAUCGGACCGACACCAGGAAUUAGUGCGAUGUGGGCUUGCUGAGCUGCGAGUCAAAGCAGAUUUUACGUAAUGAAGUAAAAGCAAUCAACUAAAAAAGUCUCAUUAAUGCUUCUGUACGUUUUGAGGAAAUGGAAAUGUGACCAAAAUGCACAUUAUGAACUCCUCAAGAUCACAGGUAGGUAAAUCACCUCUCGGUUUUAGCAGUGUUGUACAGAAGAUCUCCAGGACAUCUGACAAAUAAGAUCUUUUCAUUUUCUUUGGUAAGAAACAUAGACUGAAUGGGAUGGGCCAAAAUUUACAUUUGCACUGCCUGCCAAAUAUGCAAAUAAAUAAGAAAAGUCUACUUUAUCUUUGGAUGAAAGAUCAGCA
rnacentral:lncRNA from 1 species